rnacentral:rRNA from 1 species
ACGGGUGAGGAAUACAUCGGAAUCUGCCUUGUUGUGGGGGAUAACGUAGGGAAACUUACGCUAAUACCGCAUAAGACCUUAGGGUGAAAGCGGAGGACCUUCGGGCUUCGCGCGACAAGAUGAGCCGAUGUCGGAUUAGCUAGUUGGCGGGGUAAUGGCCCACCAAGGCGACGAUCCGUAGCUGGUCUGAGAGGAUGAUCAGCCACACUGGAACUGAGACACGGUCCAGACUCCUACGGGAGGCAGCAGUGGGGAAUAUUGGACAAUGGGCGCAAGCCUGAUCCAGCCAUGCCGCGUGUGUGAAGAAGGCCUUCGGGUUGUAAAGCACUUUUGUCCGGAAAGAAAAGCUUCGGGUUAAUACCCCGGGGUUAUGACGGUACCGGAAGAAUAAGCACCGGCUAACUUCGUGCCAGCAGCCGCGGUAAUACGAAGGGUGCAAGCGUUACUCGGAAUUACUGGGCGUAAAGCGUGCGUAGGUGGUUUGUUAAGUCUGAUGUGAAAGCCCCGGGCUCAACCUGGGAAUUGCAUUGGAUACUGGCAGGCUAGAGUGCGGUAGAGGAUGGCGGAAUUCCCGGUGUAGC